rnacentral:lncRNA from 1 species
CUCGCGGGGAAGUGCGGAAGCGGCUGUCUUUUGUAAUUCUUGUAUUUGCAUAGGGGACCCCCGCCGUCUGACUUUCCCCCCUUAGGCUCUGUUAACCUUACGUACUUUACCUACUAGAACUUUUUCAUCUCUUCCGGUCCGCGCUGCGGGUUCGUUGCCUGUUUCUGCGGUGUUCUCGCUUUUAGUGAACUGGACACUGUCCUGGGGUUUGACAGAGAUGCCGACGAGGAAAGGGGGAAUGGGGACGAACGGUUAGGUUGUUGAAGGAAUCUAGUAUAACUUGGUUUCCUUCCUGUGUUAAGAACCUCCUGUGUGUCAGUUUACCUCAUUUAUAACGUGUUAUCUUCAUUUAGUAAAUGAGGUAAUCGGGGUUCAGAGAAGUUAAGUAAUACUUCGGAGAACUUAAGUCCAUCCUUCAGAAUGCUGGUAAAAAGAAAAGCACGGUUUAAACCCAGAGUUGUCUGAUUCCAAAGCUCCAUACUCUUUUCCACUAUCCCUUAUUGCCUAAAGUAAGUAUGGCCGGGGAGUGGGGAAUAUCAGCCUGCCAUACAAGUGCCGAAACUGGAGGACCCACUUAGGGAAGUAGUUAAAAAUAAAAUCUAACGACCCCAAAAUAUCCUCUCCACAAAAUGUGGAGAGGUAGAAAAGAAGGAAACAGCUUUAUUAUUGAAUAAGCACACUGUGAUUCCCUAAAGAGAUUGCAAAGACAAAAAAAACCUUUCUUUAUUUAGCUGUGGGGGAUACAAAUCCGUUACAUACCUAUUGUCUUUAUCCAAAGGAAAAGUAAUAGGAAGUUAUUUUGGAGCCCAAAGCCGAGGUUUAAACUCCCACAGAGACAGAGAGAUGGAGCACCAUCCUCUUUAAUGUUCGCAUUUCAAAGAGAUAGCUGCAAGGCCCCCAGAAAGACCUUGGGGGGGGGGGCGGUAUGCAAAACUGGCAAGAGGCCUAAUUCGCUUUUUAAAAGGUGUACAAAGAGAAAUCAUUUACAAUUUCAAUCUUUCUAAAGGAAUUGCUAAAUGAAAAGAUAAGGGGUAAUGUUCUUUGUCUUUUCUGGCACCAGGGAACUUUUUAAAUUUGAUUUUUUCAGUCGUGUUUAGUAUGUGUUUCUUUAUAUUCCACCUCCAGAAACUGAUUGGUUUUAGGCGCUUCUUGAACUUAGUAGAGGAUAAUGUUUGUUUACUGAAGAGUUCUGGACCAGUUGCAGGACCCCAGACCAGUCCUAAAACCACUCCAAUCUAUGCAAUCACCAGCUGCAUCUUAUGAGAUUUAGUAAAACUACAGAAUUUUGAACUUUAGGUUUUAUCUUUUAUUUUUCAAAGACUUUGACUUAUUUAAAUCUCCUCACUAAUAAGAUGGCAUGUUUUUGCACCCCUGUGUUCAUCGCAGCGUUAUUCACAAUAGCUAAGACUUGGAAGCAACCUAGGUGCCCAUCAAGGGACAAACGGAUAAAGAAGAUGUGGUAUUUAUACACGAGGGACUACUAAUCAGCCAUAAGAAAUGAUGAAAUCCGGCCAUUUGUGACAACAUGGAUGGACCUUGAGGGUACUAUGCUGAGUGAAAUAAGUCAAAGGGAGAAAGUCAAAUACCAUAUGAUCUCACUCAUAAGUAGAAGAUAAAAACAACGACAAACAGGCCAGGUCAUAAAAGGUGGUAUGGAUUCUACCUGGUCUGCUGGACCUGCAUGAGAGCCAUGAGCCACUGUGUAAGAAGCAUUACCACCCUGAGACCAUCAUGCUGGGGAAGUGCAAGCUAACCCUUGCAGACAGACCACAUGACGAGGCCCCCUG